AUCAUGUGGAUUGUGGAGUACACGGAAAUUUAAAAAAAUAAGAAGCAAUAAGAAUUUACGUUGAAUCCUUUCAAGGGCACAGUAACAUUGAAAGUGAAAUAAUUUUUUUAUUUUGACUUAACAAUCUUUUAAAAAUUGUUAUCACAAAUCCAUAAAUUAAAAAAAAUAUGCUCAACGGUCUAUUUUGACGGGAAUCAAACGUGUAUUAUACCCGGUUUCUGGUUUAGUAGGUUAUCACUAUGACUGGAGGAUCUUAGAUUGAUAACGUUAUAUAUGGUAGUUAUAUCAUACUACGGUAGUUGAGAUAUUAACCACAUUGCCGUGAUAUACUUAUUAGUUUGGUAUCCUUAUUGUAACUAGUAUUCGGUAAGGCACAUUUAAAUCCGAUAUUUUUGAACUAAUUAAAUUUAAAAAAAUU